rnacentral:lncRNA from 1 species
AGGGAUCUUUUACAUCAUAGUCUAAUGUCAUGUUUCCACUUAUCAACCUUUGUAUACUAGUUGUAUAAUUAAGUUCUUUUUUAUUUUUUUGGUGGGGAAGGGUGUUCUUUUCUAAACAGUAUUGCUCUGUAUAACAGCUCUGGCUGGCCUAGAACUUGCUCUUGUAGACCAGGCUGGCCUUGAACUCAGAGAUUCGCCUGCCUCCUGCAUGUAAAAUUAAAAGGUGUGUACCACAACCACCAUCAGAACUAAGUUCUUUACUAUAGCACAAGACCAGUCAUGAUCUCAGGCUCACCACUUGCUAUCUUCUCUGGUAAUUCUAGUAAUAGCAACCAUGCAAUGUUUCUCCUCUCAGUGCCUCUCUACACACCUUGGUCUAGCCUUCCUCUCAGUGCCUCUCUACACACCUUGGUCUGGCCUUCCUUUACCCUUACUCCUCCUUCAUUCAUACCACCCAGACGACCCUCCCGCCCCACUUGCCCUAGUCAGCCAUGAGUUUUUUGGAAAUAGACAACAUGAAAUAAAUAGCCCCAUUAAUGUUUAACUGAUGUUUGAGAUGCAGUAAUCAUUUGUCUCCAAACACCUUCCUCCAUUGAUCGUGUAUUAUAUAAUCCUUCAGGAUGGAAAUAGAUAAAAGAAUUAUUUGCGGGGCUGGGGAUUUAGCUCAGUGGUAGAGCGCUUACCUAGGAAGCGCAAGGUCCUGGGUUCGGUCCCCAGCUCCGGAAA